GACGAACGCUGGCGGCGUGCCUAAUACAUGCAAGUCGAGCGGACUGAUUAAGAGCUUGCUCUUAUGACGUUAGCGGCGGACGGGUGAGUAACACGUGGGCAACCUGCCCUGUAGAUCGGGAUAACACCGAGAAAUCGGUGCUAAUACCGGGUAAUAUCUGAGAUCACAUGAUCUUAGGUUAAAAGAUGGCUCCGGCUAUCACUACAGGAUGGGCCCGCGGGGCAUUAGCGAGUUGGUAAGGUAAUGGCUUACAAAGGCGACGAUGCGGAGCGGACCUGAGAGGGUGAUCGGCCCCACUGGGGCUGAGACACGGCCCCGACUCCUCCGCGAGGCAGCAGUAGGGAAUCUUCCGCACUGGACGAAAGUCUGUCGGAGCAACGCCGCGUGAGUGAUGAAGGGUUUCGGCUCGUGAAGCUCUGUUGUUAGGGAAGAAACAGUACCGAACGAACUAGGUCGGUACCUUGACGGUACCUAAUCAGAAAGCCACGGCUAACUACGUG
rnacentral:rRNA from 1 species